UUUGUUUUGUCAGUUUGGCCGUGGUUAGGGCAUCCGAUGCUCAUUCCUGCGCACAACUUCCGUCGUAUUGCGGUCGCAUUCUCUGCCGGCGAAUUAAGGUUCUUUAGUUUACAGUCAUGUGGUCGGGACUCUACACCGAGAUUGGCACAAAGUUUACGCUUGGAUUGGAGAUUUGGCAAUGGCAUGCUCUUGGAGUUGACGAAGGAGAGGUUAAAGUUGUGCCAGGAACGCACCGUCGACCUUGUUUCAAAAAUCGGUGUAGCAAUCCCAUCCGCGGUCCAACCAAGUUCCUGAUUAAUUUUCUUAACCCUACCCUCCGAACCUGAUGCAUUCAUGCCUCUCUUUUUCCGACGACCUCGCGCUCGACUCACCUUCUUCGUCUUUGUCUCCGACGGCCAUCGUCACUCUCUUUGAUUAUCCGCCGCUUCACCCUAUUCUAAUUCCUCACCUUCGUCGUCCUUUUUUGCUUUGUCUUCGUCGGACGUUUUCACAAAGGAGGUGUGGAUUCUUAUGCUCGAACUCCAGUAACAACACACAUUUUUCGACGAACAGGCGUUGCAAAGGCUGCACAGAGUUCCUUUCCUUAAGAACAAGGAAAAUAUAUUGUCAGCAUUCUGCAAGGCAAAGAUUUCUUAGUGGUUACGCCAAUGGACUGAGGCAAGUGCUUGUGGAUGUAAAGCAAACUAUUGGACAGAGUGCGAGAUAGAUGUUCAUUUGGAUGCUCUUCUUGUCUUAUAUUAAACUGCAAUAGAAAGACAGUGUAGUCCACCAAGGCCCAUUAAAAGCCUAAGAUGUUAACCGAACUGCUCCAUGCAACUAAAUGGGCCACGACAGCUACGUUUAGCCAAAGAAGGGCCACUUGCUACAAAGGCCCGUCUAAUAGGCCCAAUCCUUGUCACCUAAAGGACCACACGAGCACAUGAUGUUUGUCAACUUUGGGCAGACAGCAGCUAACCGGAUGCAUCUUGAUAACUGCAUAUGGGUUUGUAUACCAAUGGGCAGGCAGCACGUGAUUAUGUCGAUGGGUGAUAAAUAUUGGGCAUGUCGGAUAGGUUUUGAUGUUGGUUUGGGCUUUUUCGGCUGGUCAGAUGUGCCUGUGAUAAAAAUUUAUUUAGCUAAUGGGCUAAUAUGAAAUAUAGUAUUGGGCCGGUGGGUCAUAACUUUUGCAAGUUUAAUUUUUCGAAGAUCCAUCCGGCCGAAUAGUUUUUCUAUUCAAACCAAAAGGCCCAAACGGGAUCUUUAAAGGCAAUCUUUGCUUGACAGCCGCACGUGUAGUGGUCAAGGCCCAACAGAACCCAAUGUCACCCAACAACCGAC